GAUGAAGAACGUAGCGAAAUGCGAUAAGUAAUGUGAAUUGCAGAAUUCAGUGAAUCAUCGAAUCUUUGAACGCACAUUGCGCCCGUCAGUAUUCUGGCGGGCAUGCCUGUACGAGCGUCAUUACGCCCCUCAAGUCCCCUGUGGACUUGGUGUUGGGGAUCGGCGAGGCUGGUUUUCCAGCACAGCCGUCCCUUAAAUUAAUUGGCGGUCUCGCCGUGGCCCUCCUCUGCGCAGUAGUAAAACACUCGCAACAGGAGCCCGGCGCGGUCCACUGCCGUAAAACCCCCCAACUUUUUAUAGUUGACCUCGAAUCAGGUAGGACUACCCGCUGAACUUAAGCAUAUCAAUAAGCGGAGGA
rnacentral:misc_RNA from 1 species